rnacentral:rRNA from 1 species
UACGUAGGGGGCAAGCGUUGUCCGGAAUCAUUGGGCGUAAAGAGCGUGUAGGCGGUUCGGUAAGUCGGCUGUGAAAGUCCAGGGCUCAACCCUGGGAUGCCGGUCGAUACUGCCGGACUAGAGUUCGGAAGAGGCGAGUGGAAUACCCGGUGUAGCGGUGAAAUGCGCAGAUAUCGGGAGGAACACCUAUGGCGAAGGCAGCUCGCUGGGACGUUACUGACGCUGAGACGCGAAAGCGUGGGGAGCAAACAGG